UGGCGACCAUAGCGUUAUGGACCCACCUGAUCCCUUGCCGAACUCAGUAGUGAAACGUAAUAGCGCCGAUGGUAGUGUGGGGUCUCCCCAUGUGAGAGUAGGACAUCGCCAGGCU
rnacentral:rRNA from 1 species